AUACUGAGGGUGCAAGCGUUAAUCGGAAUUACUGGGCGUAAAGCGCGCGUAGGCGGUUUAAUCAGUCGGAUGUGAAAGCCCCGGGCUCAACCUGGGAACUGCAUUCGAUACUGUUAAGCUAGAGUAUGGUAGAGGGAAGUGGAAUUCCAGGUGUAGCGGUGAAAUGCGUAGAUAUCUGGAGGAACAUCAGUGGCGAAGGCGACUUCCUGGACCAAUACUGACGCUGAGGUGCGAAAGCGUGGGGAGCAAACAGGAUUAGAUACCCUAGUAGUCC
rnacentral:rRNA from 1 species